GGUCAUGUAUUUUUCGUCACUUUGUGAUGCCUCUUUUUCAAGCUAUUGAGUUUUCUCAAAAAUACUUCCAAUAUUGAAUUUAGAUCAAAUACUCAAUGCUCUGCUAGUAUUCUUCAUUUUCUGAUGUACCUGCCUAUAAAUAUUUCCAUUAAUCUGAAUUUCCCAACUAUCUCUGAUGAUGUUCUGAAAAUCAUUAUAUUCUGGCCAGAAGUUAAGAAAUCUAAGGUACUUUAUAUGAU
rnacentral:lncRNA from 1 species